CUCAUAUCUCAUCAAAAUCGAUCUGAUUCGAAUCUGAUUCGAAGCUGGUUCGAAAUAAUUUCAAAAGGCUAUCAAUCUCAAAUUUUUUAGGACUUUUGUAUCAAGUCUAACUUGAAUUUUAGAUCCAAUUAAGUCUAAUUAAUUCAAAUCUAAUCUAAAAUUAAUUAACACUUAAAUUCAAUCUUUCAUAUGCUCUAUGUAUCAUAAAUCAGAAACUGUUCAUCCCCA
rnacentral:lncRNA from 1 species